rnacentral:rRNA from 3 species
ACGAACGCUGGCGGCGUGCUUAACACAUGCAAGUCGAACGGUAAGGCCCUUCGGGGUACACGAGUGGCGAACGGGUGAGUAACACGUGGGUGAUCUGCCCUGCACUUUGGGAUAAGCCUGGGAAACUGGGUCUAAUACCGAAUAUGACCUUGGGAUGCAUGUCUCUUGGUGGAAAGCUUUUGCGGUGUGGGAUGGGCCCGCGGCCUAUCAGCUUGUUGGUGGGGUGAUGGCCUACCAAGGCGACGACGGGUAGCCG